GGCGGGGUAGCUCAGUCGGUUAGAGCACAGGCUUCAUAAGCCUGGGGUCGCGGGUUCAAGUCCCGCCCCCGCUA
rnacentral:tRNA from 1 species